rnacentral:rRNA from 1 species
CACGUAGGGGGCGAGCGUUGUCCGGAUUCAUUGGGCGUAAAGGGUGCGAGUAGGCGGCGCGGUAAGUCGGGUGUGAAAUCUCGGAGCUUAACUCCGAAACUGCAUUCGAUACUGCCGUGCUUGAGGACUGGAGAGGAGACUGGAAUUUACGGUGUAGCUGGUGAAAUGCGUAGAUAAUUCGCAAGAACACCAGUGGCGAAGGCGGCUCACUGGCCCGGUACUGACGCUGAGGAGCGAAAGCAUGGGGAG